AUUGAACGCUGGCGGCAUGCCUUACACAUGCAAGUCGAACGGCAGCAUGGAGAGCUUGCUCUCUGAUGGCGAGUGGCGAACGGGUGAGUAAUGCAUCGGAACGUACCGUGUAAUGGGGGAUAACGUAGCGAAAGUUACGCUAAUACCGCAUACGACCUGAGGGUGAAAGCAGGGGAUCGCAAGACCUUGCGUUAUACGAGCGGCCGAUGUCAGAUUAGCUAGUUUGGGAGGUAAAGGCUCACCAAGGCGACGAUCUGUAGCGGGGCUGGGAGGAUGAUCCGCCACACUGGGACUGAGACACGGCCCAGACUCCUACGGGGGGCAGCAGUGGGGAAUUUUGGACAAUGGGGGCAACCCUGAUCCAGCCAUGCCGCGUGAGUGAAGAAGGCCUUCGGGUUGUAAAGCUCUUUCGGCCGGGAAGAAAUCGCACAGGCUAAUACUCUGUGUGGAUGACGGUACCGGCAUAAGAAGCACCGGCUAACUACGUGCCAGCCGCCGCGGUAA
rnacentral:rRNA from 1 species